rnacentral:rRNA from 1 species
UACAGAGGUCUCAAGCGUUGUUCGGAUUCAUUGGGCGUAAAGGGUGCGUAGGCGGCGCGGUAAGUCGGGUGUGAAAUCUCGGAGCUUAACUCCGAAACUGCAUUCGAUACUGCCGUGCUUGAGGACUGGAGAGGAGACUGGAAUUUACGGUGUAGCGGUGAAAUGCGUAGAUAUCGUAAGGAAGACCAGUGGCGAAGGCGGGUCUCCUGGACAGUUCCUGACGCUGAGGCACGAAGGGUCAGGGGAGCAAACGGG